rnacentral:lncRNA from 1 species
CAACACCAUAUUGCCAUUUUUACAAAACCAAUUUUAAAAACAAUGGAAUAAGUUUGAGCCUGGCAGGUUCUUACUUCAUGACUAACUGCAAUGCUUUUAGAAUGUCAGAACUGAGGUAUCCAAGUAAAUUCCCAUUUCAAUUUGAAAAGGACUUGAUCGGGUGGAAGAUUAGAGUUUCAAAAGAUAACCAAUAAUUUUCUGCAUGAUGCUCUAAUUGAGCUUUAAAACAUAACGUAUGAAAUAUCAUCAAAUACAUCCAUAGACU